rnacentral:misc_RNA from 1 species
UUUCCGUAGGUGAACCUGCGGAAGGAUCAUUACUGAGUGAGGGCCCCUCGGGGUCCAACCUCCCACCCGUGUUUAACGAACCUUGUUGCUUCGGCGGGCCCGCCUCACGGCCGCCGGGGGGCAUCUGCCCCCGGGCCCGCGCCCGCCGAAGCCACCUGUGAACGCUGUCUGAAGUUUGCAGUCUGAGACAAUUAUUAAAUUAAUUAAAACUUUCAACAACGGAUCUCUUGGUUCCG